rnacentral:rRNA from 1 species
CGAACCUGGUUGAUCCUGCCAGUAGUCAUAUGCUUGUCUCAAAGAUUAAGCCAUGCAAGUCUAAGUAUGCGUUCAAGCACGACGAAACUGCGAAUGGCUCAUUACAACAGCUAUAGUCUCUGUGAAAAUGAUUACUACACGGAUACCUGUGGUAAUUCUGGAGCUAAUACGUGCCAAAACACUGCUUGCAGUGG